rnacentral:piRNA from 1 species
UGGCAUGGAACUUGAAAGUUGAAUUCAGA